rnacentral:rRNA from 1 species
GGGGAUGACGUCAAGUCAUCAUGGCCCUUACGACCAGGGCUACACACGUGCUACAAUGGCGCAUACAAAGAGAAGCGACCUCGCGAGAGCAAGCGGACCUCAUAAAGUGCGUCGUAGUCCGGAUUGGAGUCUGCAACUCGACUCCAUGAAGUCGGAAUCGCUAGUAAUCGUGGAUCAGAAUGCCACGGUGAAUACGUUCCCGGGCCUUGUACACACCGCCCGUCACACCAUGGGAGUGGGUUGCAAAAGAAGUAGGUAGCUUAACCUUCGGGAGGGCGCUUACCACUUUGUGAUUCAUGACUGGGGUGAAGUCGU